rnacentral:rRNA from 1 species
ACCUACGGGAGCAGCAGUGGGGAAUAUUGGACAAUGGGGGGAACCCUGAUCCAGCGACGCCGCGUGAGCGAAGAAGUAUUUCGGUAUGUAAAGCUCUAUCAGCAGGGAAGAAAAUGACGGUACCUGACUAAGAAGCCCCGGCUAACUACGUGCCGGCAGCCGCGGUAAUACGUAGGGGGCAAACGUUAUCCGGAAUUACUGGGUGUAAAGGGAGCGUAGACGGCAAUGCAAGUCCGGAGUGGAAUGCGGCAGCUCAACUGCCGAACUGCUCUGGAAACUGUAUGGCUUGAGUGCAGGAGGGGUAA